rnacentral:rRNA from 1 species
AUUGAACGCUGGCGGAAUGCUUUACACAUGCAAGUCGAACGGCAGCACGGGUGCUUGCACCUGGUGGCGAGUGGCGAACGGGUGAGUAAUAUAUCGGAACGUAUCCAAUAAUGGGGGAUAACUAGCCGAAAGGUUAGCUAAUACCGCAUACGCCCUGAGGGGGAAAGCUGGGGAUCGUAAGACCUAGCGUUGAUGGAGCGGCCGAUAUCUGAUUAGCUAGUUGGUGGGGUAAGAGCCGACCAAGGCGACGAUCAGUAGCUGGUCUGAGAGGACGGAGAGCCACACUAGAACGGAGACCCGGUCCAGACUCCUACGGGAGGCAGAAGUGGGGAAUUUUGGACAAUGGGGGUAACCCUGAUCCAGCCAUUCCGCGUGAGUGAAGAAGGCCUUCGGGUUGUAAAGCUCUUUCGCAAGGGAAGAAAACUCGAUCUCCAAUAUAGGUUGAGGCUGACGGUACCUUGAUAAGAAGCACCGGCUAACUACGUGCCAGCCGCCGCCGUAA